rnacentral:rRNA from 1 species
UGAAAGGGGCAAUUGCUCCACUACAAGAUGGACCUGCGUUGUAUUAGCUAGUAGGUGAGGUAACGGCUCACCUAGGCGACGAUACAUAGCCGACCUGAGACGGCGAUCGGCCACACUGGGACUGAGACACGGCCCAGACUCCUACGGGAGGCAGCAGUAGGGAAUCUUCGGCAAUGGGGGCAACCCUGACCGAGCAACGCCGCGUGAGUGAAGAAGGUUUUCGGAUCGUAAAGCUCUGUUGUAAGUCAAGAACGAGUGUGAGAGUGGAAAGUUCACACUGUGACGGUAGCUUACCAGAAAGGGACGGCUAACUACGUGCCAGCAGCCGCGGUAAUACGUAGGUCCCGAGCGUUGUCCGGAUUUAUUGGGCGUAAAGCGAGCGCAGGCGGUUUGAUAAGUCUGAAGUUAAAGGCUGUGGCUCAACCAUAGUUCGCUUUGGAAACUGUCAAACUUGAGUGCAGAAGGGGAGAGUGGAAUUCCAUGUGUAGCGGUGAAAUGCGUAGAUAUAUGGAGGAACACCGGUGGCGAAAGCGGCUCUCUGGUCUGUAACUGACGCUGAGGCUCGAAAGCGUGGGGAGCGAACAGGAUUAGAUACCCUGGUAGUCCACGCCGUAAACGAUGAGUACUAGGUGUUGGAUCCUUUCCGGGAUUCAGUGCC